GCCGCGACCCGUUGCUGGGGACGUCGAAGGCCCGGGUGGACUGGUACCCCGACGCCGUGCUGCUGCUUCAGUGGCAUGACGAAGGGGGAAACCUCCGGUGUCCUGGCUGCCCUGCGACGGUCGUGCAGAUGAGGGGCGAAUAAACGUCACUCUCGCGGCGUGCAAAAGGUCGGUGACCCACCCGACCCGUCUUGAAACACGGACCAAGGAGUCUAACAUGUGUGCGAGUCAUUGGGUGCACUAAACCCAGAGGCGUAAUGAAAGUGAAAGGUGGGCGUCCCGGGGUUCCCUCACUGAGGGGGUUCCGGUCGGCGCCUACCGGGGCCGAUCCUCGACAUGCCGUCGCUUCGCCGGCGUCUCUUCCCACACCAAAGCGGGGCCGCCAAGACGGGGCUGCUGGCGCGGGGUGAGAACCUUUCCCUCGUGGCCUAGCCUCCGGUCCCGUGGGUACCCGGCGAGCGCGACAGUCCGGCUGCUGCUGUUGUCGUACCUGUUGAAGGCCAUAAUAGCAGUAGUAGCCGCCUGUACGCAGGGGGGCGCAGGCCCGGGACUUGCCAUUUGACGCCGUCGCGUAAAUCUGUUGUUGGCCUCGCCGGCUCUGCUUGGGCUCUCGGUUGGCGGGCCGCGCGCCAGGCGGCGGGCUUUAGGAGGAGGGCAUACACUGUCCAAGUCCGGGUCCGUCCGUCCCGCGCGGUUUUUGCCUUCCG
rnacentral:rRNA from 1 species